CUGAGAAAGAGGGAAGGAAAAGCUUCAGAGCUAAAAUAGAAAGAAAGAAGAGGAAGAGAGGGAAGGAAAGAGAAUGCUAUGGCACAGCAAGGAGAAAGGGCAGAAUGUUCCUGUGAGAACAAGCCUGGGUCUGAAAAAGCUGUAUACCAAAAAUGAAAACUGCACCAAGAAAAUCUGAAUUCUGCUACUGCGUUUUUCACUUCUGCUAUCUGCUGAGAUGUACAGCUGUAGCCAUACUCAUGAUGUUCCAACAACUCAGUAUGCUCAGCUCUGAUUAGUUCAUUGCAAAGGUUUCAGUGAUACAGCUGGCCCUCUUUAUCCACAGAUUUUUAAAAAAGAUUUAUUAAGUUUUAUUAAAUCUAGUUCGAGAUCUGCUAUGAAGGGCUGGAAGUGAAUAUGAUACCUGAUGCCAGAAACCAGAGCUAUUAUUGGACUGAAACUCCCAUCGGUUCUAGAUAACACAGUCAAAUGUAAAGCAUGAUGAGAGAUGCAAUCGAACAACAUCUGGAGGGCCUCACCAACAAAAGCAACUUGAUGUAACAUGAGAAACAUUUUAGGACACAAAAUCAAUUCUCAAUAAAUCUCCAUCAUAGCACUCCUAUAAUAUUUCAGCCUAAUUAUAGUCGGGAUACUCACUAAGGAAAGAUUUCAGAUUAAAUUAUUGGUUCAGUCGAAACCUCAGCCAAAAUGUCAACAGACUGCUCUUUUUCAUACCUCUGAUUUGGACCGAUCAAUAUCAAGAGCUUCAAAUUAUGUUUGUUUUCCUUGAGUGUUCCUAUCUCAGUAUUCAUAGAAAUAAAAUGCCAAUGAAGUAUUGAUCUGAGCUACCAAGAUUGGUUAAUGGGGAAAAAGUUAACCUAUUGAACAGCAUUUUUUACUGGCAAUGUUCUCAGAUUUCUCAAAGAACAAAUUGAGAAGAAUCAAACUAAUGACCUCCGUAAGUGAGCUUUAUAAUUUCCUUGCCUUCUUAUAUGUGUUCAGCACAGUACUUGAAAGUAAAAAUACCUGUUAAAAAUAAAAUGAGUUGUAUGUAACAAAUUGUUGGUCAGAAUCUCUUUGGGGAGUUAUGUAUGCAUAAACACCAUAGUUAUAGUGCUACACAGUGACUCUCAUCUUGAUCCCUUCAAUCACCACUUAUUGUGAAGCAGCCCCUGCAAUCAAUGGGGCCUGUUAUUGAAGAAAAAGGCUGGAAUUCUGUUGUGCAGUUAUGAAUAUAUAACCUAGAGUUAUGCAAUUGUGGUUGUUUUGUAUGUACAAUCUCCACAAAGUUCCCAAUUUAUGUAGGUAGGAACCAUGAAAGUCCCACAAUCUUCAUUUACCAGGAAUCAACCAGUGUGGUCAAUGGUGGUCUGUUUCCUUGUUGAUUGGGAAGCAGCUGGCUGAUGUUCUUACUCCUCCCAUAAAUGAUCUCUGGUGCAACAGCUAGAAACAUGGCCUUUGCUUCUAGCACCUGAUUGCUCACCUGAAGGAAGUGGGUGGACCCUUCAACCAGCUGCUUCUUGAUCGACAGGAGUAAAGACCCCAGCUAUUGCAGUGACUAUUUCUUGG